rnacentral:rRNA from 1 species
UAUUCUAAGGCGCUUGAGAGAACUCAGGAGAAGGAACUCGGCAAAUUGAUACCGUAACUUCGGGAGAAGGUAUGCCCCAAGUAGGUGAACUCGAACAGAGGGAGCCCAACGGGGUUGCAAAAAAUCGGUGGCUGCGACUGUUUAAUAAAAACACAGCACUCUGCAAACACGAAAGUGGACGUAUAGGGUGUGACGCCUGCCCGGUGCUGGAAGAUUAAAUGAUGGGGUGCAAGCUCUUGAUUGAAGUCCCAGUAAACGGCGGCCGUAACAAUAACGGUCCUAAGGUAGCGAAAUUCCUUGUCGGGUAAGUUCCGACCUGCACGAAUGGCGUAACGAUGGCCACACUGUCUCCUCCUGAGACUCAGCGAAGUUGAAAUGUUUGUGAUGAUGCAAUCUCCCCGCGGAAAGACGGAAAGACCCCAUGAACCUUUACUGUAGCUUUGUAUUGGACUUUGAACAGAUCUGUGUAGGAUAGGUGGGAGGCUUUGAAGUGAUGUCGCUAGAUGUCAUGGAGCCAACGUUGAAAUACCACCCUGGUGUGUUUGAGGUUCUAACCUAGGUCCAUUAUCUGGAUCGGGGACAGUGCAUGGUAGGCAGUUUGACUGGGGCGGUCUCCUCCCAAAGCGUAACGGAGGAGUUCGAAGGUACGCUAGUUACGGUCGGACAUCGUGACGAUAGUGCAAUGGCAUAAGCGUGCUUAACUGCGAGACUGACAAGUCGAGCAGAUGCGAAAGCAGGACAUAGUGAUCCGGUGGUUCUGUAUGGAAGGGCCAUCGCUCGACGGAUAAAAGGUACUCUGGGGAUAACAGGCUGAUACCGCCCAAGAGUUCAUAUCGACGGCGGUGUUUGGCACCUCGAUGUCGGCUCAUCUCAUCCUGGGGCUGUAGCCGGUCCCAAGGGUAUGGCUGUUCGCCAUUUAAAGAGGUACGUGAGCUGGGUUUAAAACGUCGUGAGACAGUUUGGUCCCUAUCUUCCGUGGGCGCUGCAGAUUUGAGGAAGCCUGCUCCUAGUACGAGAGGACCGGAGUGGACACACCUCUGGUGCAUCGGUUGUCACGCCAGUGGCAUUGCCGAGUAGCUAAGUGUGGAAGAGAUAACCGCUGAAAGCAUCUAAGCGGGAAACUCGUUUCAAGAUGAGAUCUGCCGGGGCCUUGAGCCCCCUGAAGAGUCGUUCAAGACCAGGACGUUGAUAGGUCAGGUGUGGAAGC